UUUCGCAGCCCCUUUCUAUUCCUUUCCUCGGGAUCUGAUCAUUCCCUUCUCUUUUAGUCUCUUUGGACAACUACUAGACAUUCCAUCAAUCAAGAGAACAGGUAGUUGGGGAUUCAGUUCAAUUCCCGAGGAUCACUUUUAUUGCGUUCUUCUUUCUUGUUUGUUUGUGUUUCUUCUUUCUUUCUGUGUUUUUUUUGUCUGGUUCCGUUUCCUUGUUAAAAAGGUAAAGGUGGAAGUGAUCACAAAAGCUAGCUUAAAGUGUCUCUUGAGCUUAUUGGUGGGUUCGAGUUUGGAUUCAUUAGCAACCAGAUCUAGCAGGGAUUUCUUACUUGGCAAGACUGAAUUCUAUCAAGAGGAUUUUCAAG
rnacentral:lncRNA from 1 species